rnacentral:tRNA from 1 species
GCCCCUUUAGUUAAAUGGUAUAACGGAUCCAUGGUAAGGAUCUGUCCGUAGUUCGAUUCUGCGAAGGGGCACCA